GUGUCAGCCGCCGCGGUAAUACGUAGGUGGCGAGCGUUGUCCGGAUUUACUGGGCGUAAAGCGCGCGUAGGCGGCUUGUUAAGUCUGGGGUGAAAUCUCCCGGCUCAACUGGGAGGGGUCCUCGGAUACUGGCAGGCUGGAGGGGAGCAGAGGAGAGCGGAAUUCCCGGUGUAGUGGUGAAAUGCGUAGAUAUCGGGAGGAACACCAGUGGCGAAGGCGGCUCUCUGGGCUCUACCUGACGCUGAGGUGCGAAAGCGUGGGGAGCGAACCGGAUUAGAUACCCGGGUAGUCCACGCUGUAAACGAUGGACACUAGGUGUGGGAGGUAUCGACCCCUUCCGUGCCGAAGCUAACGCUAUAAGUGUCCCGCCUGGGGAGUACGGCCGCAAGGCUAAAACUUAAAUGAAUUGACGGGG
rnacentral:rRNA from 1 species